rnacentral:rRNA from 1 species
UGAAACUCAAAGGAAUUGACGGGGGCCCGCACAAGCAGUGGAGUAUGUGGUUUAAUUCGAAGCAACGCGAAGAACCUUACCAGGGCUUGACAUAUACCGGAAUAUACUAGAGAUAGUAUAGUCCUUCGGGACUGGUAUACAGGUGGUGCAUGGUUGUCGUCAGCUCGUGUCGUGAGAUGUUGGGUUAAGUCCCGCAACGAGCGCAACCCCUAUCGUUAGUUGCUAGCAGGUAAUGCUGAGAACUCUAGCGAGACUGCCGGUGAUAAAUCGGAGGAAGGUGGGGAUGACGUCAAAUCAUCAUGCCCUUUAUGUCCUGGGCUACACACGUACUACAAUGGCCGUAACAGAGGGAAGCAAUAUAGUGAUAUGGAGCAAAACCCUAAAAGCGGUCUCAGUUCGGAUUGAAGGCUGAAAUUCGCCUUCAUGAAGCUGGAAUUGCUAGUAAUGGCAGGUCAGCAUACUGCCGUGAAUACGUUCCCGGGCCUUGUACACACCGCCCGUCACACCAUGAGAGUUGGAAAUACCCGAAGCCUGUGAGCUAACUGUAAAGAGGCAGCAGUCGAAGGUAGAGCCAAUGAUUGGGGUGAAGUCGUAACAAGGUAACCG